rnacentral:Y_RNA from 1 species
GACUGGUCCAAAUGUAGUGAGUUAUCUCAAUUGAUUGUUCCCAGUUACAAAUUGAACUCCUUUUUCUACUCUUUCCCUUUCCCUUUUUCUUACUGCAAUUGACUAAUCUUAA